rnacentral:rRNA from 1 species
AUUGAACGCUGGCGGCAGGCCUAACACAUGCAAGUCGAACGAGUGGCGGACGGGUGAGUAAUGUCUGGGAAACUGCCAGAUGGAGGGGGAUAACUACUGGAAACGGUAGCUAAUACCGCAUACCAUCGGAUGUGCCCAGAUGGUAUUAGCUAGUAGGUGGGGUAACGGCUCACCUAGGCGACGAUCACUAGCUGGUCUGAGAGGAUGACACGCCACACUGGAACUGAGACACGGUCCAGACUCCUACGUGAGGCAGCAGUGGGGAAUAUGGCACAAUUGGCGCAAGCCUGAUGCAGCAAUGCCGCGUGUAUGAAGAAGGCCUUCGGGUUGUAAAGUACUUUCAGCGAGGAGGCGUUACUCGCAGAAGAAGCACCGGCUAACUCCGUGCCAGCAGCCGCGGUAAUAC